rnacentral:rRNA from 1 species
GGGUACGACCAUACUUGGGCGAAUGCACCGCAUCCCGUCCGAUUUGCGAAGUUAA